GCUGUCUGGUUGGGGUUCUCCUUCUUGUUGAUGUGGACCGACAGUCGCUGCCACAGGUGCUGCCCCCGGCUGCUCUUCUCAUUCUGGGCCCAUGUCACGGAUUUCCCGUUGGAGCUGCGAAGAGAAGAGAGGGAAGGGCAGCCCCUGUGCUCCGAAGGCUACUCUAAUGAAGGUGGAGAUAAUGCCUCAACUUCAGAAUCUGCAUCCUUCUUUCUGCCGAAAUGACAGGCUCUGAAUGUCAGGUCAGUGACCUCAUCACUCUCUCUAUUCAUCUGCCCAAAUCUGAGGAAAUUAGAGCAUCUUGCCCCAGCAUGCCAUCAUUAGGCAGUACACAUCAGAGUCUGACAAGCACAAAGGUCUGUGGAAUAUAUAAUGUUUGUGUUAAUAUUAAAUGGAUUUGAAGAAUCUGUGUGGUUCUGUUCCUCCCCAGAGUUAAUUUAGGGUUGUGGUGUGAUAAAAAGGAAGCAUAUAAGCACUAUUUUCUUUUCAUUUUGCUGAAUUAAAAGAAAAUAAAACAAACCCUAACACUU